ACAGGAAACGAAAAGUGAUGAGUGAUGACAUUUCAGUACAAAAAUACAUUAAUAUUGAAAUUAAAUUUUGUUGUCUGAAAACUAGAGAAAAACUAUUUCAUUUUCUUUCAGAAGUAACUGCAUUUACAAUCAAUAUAAGAUGCUGUAGUAAGUAAUCACCGUUACACCACAGUUGACUAAUGAACACAUUAAAGACCAAAGACCCAACACUAUUUAAUGAUUCUAUGAAUAUUCAACAUUUACAGGAAAACAAACAAACAAACAAACAAUAUAUAACACUCCCAUGUGCUCAUCCCAAAUACUGAAAAAUUUUUGGGUUUGUUCUUAAUUGCUUUUCCUCCCCCCAAAAAUAACAGUUGUGGAGAAUUAAAUGCACCUCUGCAGAACACAAGUUGCCUCUCAUCUUAGGGGAGUCUCACAUCUUUGGAAUUUAACCAGUCUUCCAUGGAUAAAUCAGGGGUGACCUUUCUACAUUGAUUCAAUAAAAUACAGCAAAGCAACAACCAAAUACAAAAUACAUUAUCACAUGAUUACUAGUUCAUUCUCUGGGACUAUUAUUGCUGUAGCUCUAGUCCCUCAAGGAAUUUUAAAUCAUGAGCAUUUGUCUUCAUUGCUACUACAUACUUCUGAGUCAAGGUAGAAUUGCUUCUUAUUUCAAGUUUGUGAUAACAGCACUUCAAAAAUAAUUAAAAGACUGUGGAAAGAUAUACAAGAUUCUAUUCUAGGGUGAAUUAAAAAACCCCAACGUUUUUAAAAGUAGGAUGUUAUCUUUUACCUGCCUUAUAAUGUUAUUUCUAAUAAUUUUCAGAAAUAUGCCAAAUGAUGCUUUCCAUUAUAGUUUUUCCUACCUUAGAAAGAAACACAUUGUUCCCCAGGCAGAAGUAUCUUAAUAUGCAGUGCAAUUUUACUUGUACUACAAAGAGUAUUAAAAACCCAGGAAGUACUAUUGUAUAAAUACACCUACUAGACCUUUCUGUGGGAUAGCUUAGCACUCAAAGUACUAAAUAAUGUUUAAGAUCACUAAGCUGCCAGCUGUUGCAGGUAUUUCCAUUUUCCCAUAUACUAAACCUGUUAUUUUUCUAAAAAAGAAAAAAACCUGGUUUUCAAAAUCAGAUUUUUACUUUCAUAUUAUUUAAGCAUCUGGAAUGACAGGAUCUACUAAGUGCUAAAUCAACAUUUACUAUAAACAGUCUCCUCUUCAGAUUGAAUAAACUGACAUUCUCAAUUAGUUGAUUUCCAGUAUAUAAGAAAAGGCACUAAAGGUGCUUUUCCUCUUACAGACCAUGAUUAAAGUACAUAUACAAGACUACCUGUCUCAAAAUCCUAAAUAAACUGCUGAACAGAACUACCAAGUUUGUGGUUAGUUACUACAUUUAUCAAGCCAGUUUUAAACACUAAAUAUAUUUUGAUAAACUUCAAACAUGCUGGACACUUUUUAUGUAAGUGAUUUUUUUUUCUAAAACCUCAAACCUUAGAGUGAGCUGCUUUAUACAAAAUGCCCAUUUCAAUCAAAUGCAACUCAACACAACUCACAUGUAAAUAACGCCUGAAUGAAAAACGUAAUAAAUCAUUAUUUUUUGGCAAAAUGAAACUGUAUACUUAAAGUAGUUAUAGACCUUAAUAUAUUGUAUUAACUGAUGUAUGAAGUCACAAUGUAUUUUCCUGGGUAGAAAAAAGUGGAACCAAUGUAGAUUAAUGAGUCAGUAGGUGAAAAAAAAAAAAAAAAAAAAAAAAAACACUCUGAAGGAAAAAUUA